GUCUGGUCUACUCUACUCUACUCACUCACCGACCGACCUGCCAUCUUAGUAAAGGAGGUCCGGUAGGGGGGAAGGAAAGCAAGAAGAGAUUGAGUAACGAAGAGAAGGGGGGAGGAGGGGGAAAGAACACCAGAGGCGCUACAAAUGCGUGAUUGAAACUUAGCUUUAAUUUCCGUAGGAGUUUGGGGGGAUUCUCUGUUUACAAUAAUGCCGACCAGUUGCGCGGCCUACGGGUGCACGGCUGUGUACAACAAGAACACCGACACCAGCUUCCACAGGUUUCCCAGAAACCCCAGGAGGCGGAUGGAGUGGGUCCAACUUGUUCGACGGGAAAACUUUCAUCCGACCAGCCACACUUUCCUUUGUUCCAAGCAUUUUGAGCAAACCUGUUUUGACCGGACAGGACAGACUAGACGCCUGCGAGAAAAUGCCGUCCCAACGAUAUUUGACUUCCCUCCGCACGUUGAAAAAAAGUUAGCAGGCAGAAAAUCCCUCCUGAGUUCAAUGGGCAUCAGUAUCCCGCAAACACCAUCCUUCAUUAGCACUGGUGAUAACACCAUCAUUAGUGCUAGUACUAGUAACAGUACUAGCAGCCAAACCAGCAGCGGCAUCAAGGGAGUGUUCGAAGAUCACAGUUACUGUUUGGCAAAUCCCGCUGAAGCCAAGAGGAAGAUAUUCCAGUUGCUAGACGAAGUGGAUUACCUCAGACAGCAAGUAAAGAUCAGCAGGCAGCGAGAACGCCGUGUGGUCGAGAAGUGGAAAGGGAUCUCCAACCUUCUCAUGGAGCUAAGAGAGAAAAAUAUUUUGCCUAAUGACGAGGAACCAGAGCAUAUUUAGGCCGCCUUAAAUGACAAAUCUCUUAAAAAAAUCCGUCAGGUCAUUGAAGUUGACCAGAGCAAAUGAUACUGUGGCCCAGAAGAGACAGCUUGUUUCACUUUUCUGUCCACUUCCUUUCAUGCUUUUCAACAACCUUAUACUCACACUUUAAUUUAUUGGUUGUUUAUCAGCACAUAAUUCAUGAUGGUGCACAUUGCAUUCAUCGACUUAAAAUGUGGGGAACAGUGUUGCAUGGAACCAGUGUUUGCAUUGGCAAUGAAUUAUGCACAGAAACAUAGUCAGACGGCUGCUUUAUCAUGGUUUGUCAGAAGAUAUUGGACAAUAAACGCAAGCCAUGUCGUGAUAUUUUUAUUUAUUGUGCCCCAACAAACAGCCAACCUGAAAAGUGCCUUGACGCCAGCCUCAUAGCCCUUCUAAACCACAGAGAUGUUUUUUUUAAUUUCUAUAUCACUGUUCCUGACUGCUAUUGCCAAUUCGUGCUCAAGAAGCUUUAUGCUGCAGACAUGUGCAAACUACGGACCGGUUUGAGACUUCAUCUGAUCCAGGAUUCUUGUGGAGAGCAGUAAAAGAGGGAAUUAUUCAGAACUCCCAGGAAACUCCACAGAUUUGCAGUUGAAAGAGACCCCAACGAGAGGCUUGUGACAGCUUACCUCCCCUCUCAGCAGCAUGUUAGCCCCUUGAGUCUGCUGACUGCCUCAUGGUUAAUGCAGCUGUUAUAAACAUGAAGUUUGCCGAGUCUUAAAAAAACUGACAUGCGAGUAUUGAUGGAUGGAAGGAGGAAAAGUAUUCAGUGCAACAGCAGUACACAACAGCAUGAAAUGAUUUGAUCCCUUCAGGAUUCACUUUCAGAAAUUUCCCCCAAAAACCUCAAAAUUACAAUAGCUUAGAGAUACAGCGUGCAAAUAGGCUCUUCAGCCCACAGAGUCCAUGCCGACCAUCGAUCACCCAUAUACACUAGGGACAAUUUAUAGAUGACAAUUAACCACCAGGGACAGGGGGGUAGAAUAAGGCCAAACAGCCUCCCUUCCCCCCUUUUCCCUCAUUGAAUCCCUCAUUUCACCUGAUUACUACCAUUAAUGGCCUUGGACCACCUUUGCCUAAUAAAAAUCUACCAAUCCUGGUGAUUAUUUUUGACAUUACCAACGAACGUCCCUACCCUCUAAGCUGCCUGUUUUUUCCCCAUAGACCAACUGGUUUAGUUUAGAGAUACAGCAUGAAACCAGGCCUUUCAGCCCACCGAGUCUGCACUGACAAGAAAUCCCUGCCCACUAACACUAGGGCCAAUUUUUUACAUUCAUACCAAGCCAAUUAACCUACAAAGGUUUGGGAGGAAAUCAAUGUUCUCAGAGAAAACCCACGCACGUCACAGGGAGAACGUACAAACUCCGUACAGACAAGCACCCGUCACCAGGAUCGAACCCGGACUCUGGUAACUCCAUCGUGGCUCCCUAACAGAUUUGACAAUUUGGGUUGGAUUCAAGGCAAGAAAUCACUUGGAAUUAGGAGGACGAUUGGUAAAGAAAUAACAACAAAAUUACUUUGCACAGAAGAAGUCCAGAAUUGUCUUGGAUCUGCUUGGACCAACUGAUCAUAUUUGGGAGGACAGGAAGUUUAUAAAUAACAAAAAGAAACUACUGAAAGCUGGAAUUGCUUGUAUUGAUCACUUCAAUCCAAAGGGUUUUAAGCACGGCAAAGGUCGCAAUGUGAUAAACAUCAGAAUCAGAUUUUAUUUGCUAAGUAUGUUUUGCAACAUACGAGGAAUUUCACUGGCCAGGUCAGUCAUACAAUUAAAAGCAACAGACUCAAAAACACAUUUUAACAUGACCAUCCACCACAGUGAUUCCUACACAUUCCUCACUGUGAUAGAAGGCGAAAUAAAGUUCACGCCCUUCCCUCGUGUUCUUCCUUGGUCGGGGGCCUCGAGCCCCCGUUAACGAGAUGAUCCUGACUCCCGUAGUCGGUGGCGUUCAGGCCCCUCCGCGUCCAGGCGUUCAGCUCCUGCAUCGGGGGGAUGUCAGCUCCCAGGCGAUUCCAGGCCGGGCGAUGGAACCUCACGUCGGGGCUGAACGAACCUGCGACAUUGGAGCUCCCGACUCGCCUCUCCCGAAACUGCGAGCCCUUGAUGGUAAGUCUGCAGGCCGCGGUGGGAGCAAUCCCAGGCAAGGGAUCUGCUCCGAUAUUAAGUCCGCGCCCAGCGGUGGGGCUCACGACAGUCCGAGUCGGCUUAUCUCCGGUCCAUGGGAGAUAAGCAGAGGCCAGCUCAGCAGUUUCCAUCUACAGGCCAGAGUCCUCCGUACCUUCCGUCCGACCUGGACUAGAGUUGGAAGUGUGUGGAUGACACUCUAACCAUCAGACAUAGGAGCAGAAUUAGGCCAUUCAGCCCAUUGAGUACUCCAUCAUUCAAUCAUGGCUGAUCUAUUUUUCCCCCUCAAUACCCUUCUCCUGUCUUCUCCCUGUAACCUUUGACACCCUUCCUAAUCAAGAACCUAUCGAUCUCCGCCUUAAAAAUACCCAAUGUCUUGGCCUCCAGAGCCUCUGAGGGUGAAUACUGUCCAAUUGCAUGCUGCUAUUCCUCAGGAUAUUAGCACGCCGUUAGAGUUGCUGCCUUACGGCACAAGAGGCCCUAGUUCAAUUCUGACUACCGGUGCUGUCUGUUUGGAGUUUGCACGGUCUCCCUGUGAGCGCUUGGGUUUUCUCCGUGUGCUCCAGUUUCCUCCUACAUUCCAAAGACGUACAUGUUUGUAGGUUAAUUGGUUUCAAUAAAGAAUGUAAAUUGUCCCUAGUGUGUAGGAAAGUGCUAGUGGAAGGGGUGAUUACUGGUCAGCACAGACUCAGUGGGCAGAAGCGCCUGUUUCCACUCUAUCUCUAAACUAAAACUAAACUAAAAGCAAUUGAGAGGGAAACCCCUGCAUGUCCUAGAUUGAACACUACACUUCAAAAAGGUGAACAACAGGCAAGGACAAUAAUCAGUGAAUCCGACGAGAAAUGGCUGCUAUAAAAUGUGAUAAUUGUGGGUGUUUAAUUUAUUAAUCAAAGCAGUGCAGAGUUCUAUGUGCUAUUACUUCAGAUGUAUUACAUGAUGCUGAAGAGCAGCAUCUUUAUAGUGAAGAUAGACACAAAAUGUUGGAGUAACUCAGCGGGUCAGGCAGCAUCUCUGGAGAAAAGGAAUAGGUGACGUUUCAGGUCGAAACCCUUAGUCGGGGAGGGGGACACUAAAGGUAUGGGAAGGUACAAAACAAAGCACCUAUCCCGUAGGUCACCGAUUCCUUUUCUCCAAAGACGCUGCUCAGUUACUCCAGCAUUUGGUGUCUAUCUUUGGUGUAAACCAGCAUCUGCAGUUUCUUCUUACAUAUCUUAAGCAUCUUUAUAGUCUUGGGUACAAUUAAUUGCAGUUGCAGAUACCAUUACAUGGGAUUUAAUAAUGAAUUCUAUUUUAUUCUAUAUUGAUAUUCAGAACAUUAUGCAUUGUGACCAAUUGAAUAAAGAGUACUUUUCCAAAAAAAAAUAACUCGUGUUCUUUGAGACAUUUAAGUCUCCAUGCCAGUACUUGAGAAUAUACUUUGGCUCAAUUCUAUGAUUACAAAAUUCAUUCCCGAGCCAAAAUAAUUAAGUGUUCACUUCCCAAACACAACUGUGCGAGGACGAUAAAAAGGUACCGAAUAAGUCAGCCAGAAAACUUCCCACGCCUCGAGCAGACCAAUAAAAAAAUGUUUGUUUUGAUUUCUACCAACAGCUAUGUUGCAAAGAAAAUCUGCUUUUACCUGCCAGUAAGAUGAUGGCAUAACCAUUCACUUAACAGUUGUCUAUCCAACCCCGAUGGAAACAGAUUGUAUAUUACAGUUUUACAAAGUUUGAUAAAAAAUAAGAAAUAGGAGCAGAAUUAGGCCAUUCAACCCAUCAAGUCUGCUCCACCAUUUGAUCAUGACUGAUCUAUUUCUCAUUCUCAACCCCAUUUUCCUGCCUUCAUCCGUACUAAUCAAGAACCUGUAAACCUCCACUUCAAAAAUAUCCAAAGAUUUGGCUCCCACCACUCUGUGGCAAUGAACUCCACAGAUUCACCACUCUCAGGCAAAAUAAAUUCCUCCUCAUCUCUAUUCGAAAAGUAUGUCCUUUUAUUCUGAGGCUAUGCCCUCUGGUCCAAGACUCUACUUACUACUGGAAACAUCUUCUCCACAUCCACUCCCUCUAGGACUUCCAUUAUUCGGUAAGUUUCAAUGAGAUCUCUUUCAUCCUUAUAAACUGCAACAAGUACAGGCCCAGUGCCUUCAAAUGCUCACACAUUUACCCAUUCAUUCCCGUGAUCAUUCUCGUAUACUUCCUUAGGACCCUCUCAAAGGUUGCAAAGGUCUUUUAUUGUCACAUGUACCAAUUAAGGUACAGUUAUAUGCAAAACCAAAAGUAACAAGACACACAACUACAUAAAAGUUAACAUAAACAUCCACCACAGCGGAUUCCCCACAUUCCUCACUGUGAUGGAAGGCGAAAAAAUCCAAACUUCUUCCUCCCUCGGUCGGGGCAGUUGAACCAUUCAUCGGGGCAAACAAAGCUCCUGCAGCUGGCGAUCGAAGCUCCCGUGUCGGGGCGAUCGAAACUCCCAUGGCUUGGAGUUCCCGAAGUCAGUCUCUGACCAGCUAUCGCGAGCUCCGUGAUGUUAAAGUCCGCAAGCCCUCAUGGCUGGAGCCCCGAGGUCGAUCCCUGGCAAAGGGAUUGUGGGCUCCGCGAUGUUUAAGUCCCGUAGGCACCUGCGGUGGAGAUCUCGCAAUUGGUAUCCAGAAAAGGCAGCCAUAGCCAACUCCUCGAUGUUAGGCCGCAGUGCCGACGGAGAUACGAUACGGAAAAAAAAAAUCGCAUCUCUAUCAAGGUAAGAGGUUAGAAAAAGUUUCCCCCAACUCCCCACAUAAAACAAGCUAAAGAACACUAAAAACAUACAUUUAACACACGCUAUUAAAACACAAAGAAGGAAAGAACAGACAGGCUGUUGGCGAGGCAGCCAUUGCUGACGCCACCCACCACUAUGGUGAGAAGUAAGCACUAAAAAAGGAAUAAAAUAAUUAUUUUCACCAAGUGAUUGUGUUGAACUCUGAUAUAUACUGUCUAAGGUGGUGAUAGAAAUAGGUACUCAAUAUUUGGGAAGCAUUUGGAUGAGCACUUGAAUUGCUGUGGACCAAGUGAAUAUAGAGGGGCACACAACAUUGUGGGCUGAAAGAUCUGUUUCCAAAUUGUAUGACUCAACAUCUUCGAUUGAUGCAGCAGAAAUGUUGGCCACUAAUCAUGUCUGAGUCAUCUCCCUUCUAGAUCUACAGCUGAGCCGCUUAAAGCAGGAAGUUUCAAUCACAACUUUGUGCUGUCAGUGAAUAUGUUUUUAGUUUUAGCAAUACAACGCCAAAACAGGCCACCUAGUCCGGGCCUAUCAGCGAUCCGCAUACACCAGCACUCUCCUGCACAUUAAAGACAAUCUAUUAUUUUUACCGAAGCCAAUCAACCUACAAACCUUUGCGUCUUUGGAGCGAGGGGGAAAAAUGGUACACCCGGAAAAAUCACAUGCAGACAUGGGGAGAAGGUACAAAUUCCAUACAAAUAGCACCCCGUGGUCAGGUUCGAACACUGCUUUCUGGCGUUGUAAGGCAGCAACUCUACCGCUGCACCACCAGGCCACCCACUACACUCUACGCACAAGUGUGUUGUAAUUAAUCACUGUAUUCUUGAGCUGUGGAAGGAGGGAAAUAGCGAGGGUGGGAAGGAUAUCUGGGCAUGGAAAUCAGCCAGCUGUUCUUUUUCUGGCCUCCAGUGACCCCGACUGAAAAGUAUGUAUUUGGAGAACACAAGAUUUGACUUGGCCGAGAUGCAACCACAAACAGCCUGCCAACAUUCACUGACCAGGCAGGCACAUGAAAAUGUUGAUUCCGUUUCUGAGGAGCCGAUCGGGGCUGUGCAACUGGACCUAGAAUAAGCCAGCUAUUUCAAAACAGGAGGAAAUAAGCUGAAAUAAAAUCUGAAUUGAGUAUCAUUACUGAAACCUUUUUCCAUUGAACAAGCAAGAAAAUAGAUGGAACAUCUUCCAGCUCUGAUUCCAGAUAUAAACCUAGGAACAACGAUUGGACAAAGAGUUGUAUAAGCAUGUGUUGCUAAAUUAUAUCGCCAAUAUUCUGAACGUUCACAUACAACAG